CCUACGGGAGACAGCAGUGGGGGAUAUUGCACAAUGGGGGGAACCCUGAUGCAGUGACGCCGCGUGGGUGAAGAAGCGCCUCGGCGCGUAAAGCCCUGUCAGCAGGGAAGAAAAUGACGGUACCUGAAGAAGAAGCCCCGGCUAACUACGUGCCAGCAGCCGCGGUAAUACGUAGGGGGCAAGCGUUCUCCGGAUUUACUGGGUGGAAAGGGGGCGCAGACGGCGAUGCAAGCCAGGAGUGAAAGCCCGGGGCCCAACCCCGGGACUGCUCUUGGAACUGCGUGGCUGGAGUGCAGGAGGGGCAGGCGGAAUUCCUGGUGUAGCGGUGAAAUGCGUAGAUAUCAGGAGGAACACCGGUGGCGAAGGCGGCCUGCUGGACUGCAACUGACGUUGAGGCCCGAAAGCGUGGGGAGCAAACAGGAUUAGAUACCCCGGUAGUC
rnacentral:rRNA from 1 species